CCUUCGGGUGGGGAUCAGCGGCGAACGGGUGAGUAACACGUGGGCAACCUGCCCCUAGCUCUGGGAUAACUCCGGGAAACCGGGGCUAAUACCGGAUACGACUUCCUGCGGCAUCUCGGGAAGUGGAAAGUUUUUCGGCUAGGGAUGGGCCCGCGGCCUAUCAGCUUGUUGGUGGGGUAAUGGCCCACCAAGGCGACGACGGGUAGCCGGCCUGAGAGGGCGACCGGCCACACUGGGACUGAGACACGGCCCAG
rnacentral:rRNA from 1 species